AAGUCGUAACAAGGUAACCGUAGGUGAACCUGCGGUUGGAUCAUUACUAAAUUUGAAAAUUUUAUUUGAUGAUACGUGUUUUUUUUUUUCUAAGAGUUGAGAUUUUUUUUCUAUAAAAAAUUUCCUCUGAAAAGACACGUUCUCUAUAAAAUUUUUUUACCCAAUGUGAACCGUAAUUGUAUUUCGAGUUUUUUGGUAUUUUUUAAAUACCCGAACUCGGUAUAUUUUAAAACCCAAUUUUUAUAUAAUUUUGUCUGAAUUUUUUUUUUCUUUGACCAAGAAAAUCCAAAAACAACUUUUGACAACGGAUCUCUUGGCUCUC
rnacentral:misc_RNA from 1 species